ensembl:lncRNA retinitis pigmentosa 1-like 1 protein
GACGAUGAUGGAGCAUCAAGACCCAUCUCAGCUGAAUCAAAGAAGUCAGCAAGAUUAAAAAAAAUUAUUCUCUAUGAUGUCCCAGAUGAUGAAAAAACUGAGGAGAAAGCACUUACAUCCAUGUCAACAAAAGCAGGCCCUUCUGACGUAUUAAGCAAGUCUGAAGUUCCGGCUGUGACAAUCGAGGCAAGCGAAGAUGGAGCCCCUAAAGCCAUGUCGUCACGGUCAAAAGGUUCUGCACGCUCCAAUAAGUCAACAAAGUCAGCAAAAAGUGAAGGCAAGAGUCAAAUUUCUUUAAGUGUGAAGUCCCAUCUUUCGGUCAAUUCUAAGAAAUCAAAAGUAACUAGAAAUGUGAACAGUGGAGAAACAGAAAACAAUGAGCAGUUAAAGUUGCCAGCAGCCAGUGACAAUUUUCCCAAUAGGAACAAGGAGUGUGAGGCUAGCACAGCAGAUCAAGGCAUGUUGAGUUUGCCACAAGAUGCAACUGAUAAAUGUAGUAAUCACUCUAAAAACGAUGAGUCACGAGGGAGUGGCACAGAAGACACAGCAGCAGAGGCCAUUGCCAGACCAAAGUCCGCAACUACCUCUGCAACAUCAAGGAGUGAACAAAAACAAAAAAGAAACACACGACAUGUAAUUAGUCACACAGCAUCAAAGGAAAGUGAUCUUUCACAAACUCUGUCUAGUUCAGAUAUUGUCAAAGAGGUUUGUGAGACUAUGGCACAGGAAAAACCUAAAUCCAACAUGUCUAGAGGGACAAAAGGGAGUGCUACUGACUAUGAAAGUGACAAAAGCAGCAGACUUUUUCAGAAAACCAAUGAUGAUGAUGACGUUGAGCUUGUUCCAUCAAGAUUGCCAAACGCAUCUCCCACGGAAGUUGUCAAUGAAUGGCUAAAAAACUUACCUGCAGAUGGCGAUAACUACGAUUUGGAAGAGUUAAAUGGAAACUAUGAUGCACAAAAAAGUUCCAGCCCAACAGAAGAAAUAAAUAGAGUGGACAAUGGUGAAAACAAUGUUCACUCUACAAAUGUUAUUUCAAAUGACACGAAUGAGGAUAAUGGGAUGAACUCUGUACCUGACGAUGACUGCCAAAAGCACAAAGAUGUAUCAAACAAAGAUGAAAAUGAUGAAAACAAAAUGUUUAAUUCCUCUAUACAAGUAAUGAAAGUACUCCUGAAUCCAAAGCUCGACAGAUGCAAAAGUUUACCAGAGAUAUCACCAGUGUAUGGACGUAAGCUGAGCACCUCUGCGAAAGGUCUUUUAGAUUGUCUUGUGAAGUUGCAGUUAAUUGAUCAUGAUCCAAAAAAUGCUAAUGACAAGAACCAAAGAUACCAAGAGCUGAUGAACAUUCUCCAAUCUCUUUGGCUUUGUGAUCCCGUACAAAAUGAACAUGGGAUAAAGAGGGAUUGCCAUCAUUCGGUUGAUGAUGACUACAAUCACACAUCAUCCUCAGGUGUGGAUGUCCACAGUGGUUCCACAGGCUCUGGGAAAAGUAGUGAUGGGAUAAAGAUGAGUAAUGAUGUGUAUCAACCUCACAGUAGUGCGAAUACAUUGCAAGUUUUACAAAAUAUUUGUGAAACAGAAGCAGAUGACGAAAAACUCAAGGAAGAUGACCUAGCAGCGGAUGACACACUCGGAGGUGAUGAUAGUCCAGAAACAUCGACUUCUCCCAAUGAGAAUUCAGAAAAGGACAGCGAUGGACAAAAGAUCCAAAACGAAGUUGAGUCUGAAGCAGUAGACAAAACUAUAACACAGAAUUCGGAUCCCCUAUGGGUGUUAACGCUGUUAACCAAAAUAGAACGGAAGUUUAUGAAACAUUACAUCAAUGCUAUGAUGGAAUUCAAGAACCACGCAAACUUAAGAGAUGAGGAGCAGCUUGACAUGCUGAUAAAUGAACUAAAAACUAAGGUUCACAAAAAUAUUCAAACCAGUAUUGAGAGAGAAUUGAGGAAAAUCCAAAUCACUGCCGGGCUACCGAGACCUCCUAAAGAAGCCAUGUUCUGUGCUCCGACAACCCAAGCAGAAGAACGAAGACGAAGAAGACUGAAGCUCAUGCUCCAACAUUCAAGGAAUUCACAAGCAGAGAAGAGCUCUGAUUCUGCAACAGGGACGUCUUUCAGUGAUUCACGAAGUGACAACAAUGACGAUCCCUGUGUAUGUAAAUCGUGCACGAAGACAGAAAUUACUGAUAGGUUGCUUAGUUUAGCAGAUUUGAUGAAUACACCAGCUAUCACUGACUCUGGACUUACUCAGACUAUUGAUUGUACGACUCAUUCAGAAAACAAUCACCAAUUAAAGGCAGCAGAAACAUUUGUAGAAAAGGUUAUUGAUAAAGCUGUAAAUGAAGUAAAAAGUAAUGAAAUGCAGCAAAAUGCUGAAGAAGGGAUAUAUGAUCAAGAUCAGGGUCUGGAAGCAGAGUUGGAAAAUGCUGAAGAAGAAAAAGAAGAUGCAGGACUGUCUGAACAGGCUGUUAAUGAAAAUCCACUUGAAGAUCUAGCAGCUUCAACACAGGAAUACACUCAGGAAAAAGCUGGUCUCAGUGAUGAAGCAAGUGAUGUGAAAGAAGAAACUUCUGAGUUCACUAAAUCUGAGGAUGAAAGUGCAAAUGAUAAGAGCCCUGUGGGAAUGUCAAUGGAGCAUCAAUCAGACAAAGAAGACACUGUAGAAGAAAAUACAGAUGAUGAGAGAGAACAUGCAACCGUCAGUGUUAGUGAUGAUAAUAACACAUAUGGUUUAGAGAUCACCUAUAGUGAAAAUGAAGCCAAAGAAGACAAUUAUGCUGUUGAGGAAUCACCAAGUCAACCUGAACAUCAUGAUGAGACUGUUGUCAUAAAAGAUGAUGAGAUGCCAUGUGAGCAUGAGUCUGAAGGAAAAGCUGAAGAACAGCCUGAAAAUGAGGAGAAAGAUGAGGUUGAGCUGGAUUAUCAUACAACAGCAGUAUCUGCUACUGGUGCAGAUGGCUCAGAUGACAACAUGCCAAUAUCUGAUCAUUCAGCAAAUGGAGUGACAGAAGAUAAUCUAACAGACGAUGAAAGGGCGAUGUCUGAAGAUGAGUCCCCACAUCAAACUCUAGCUGUAGAUAUACUUGCAUCUCUGAAAACCAUGAGCGAGAGUGACUCAGAAUGUGAAACUGUAGAAAAAAUCACAGACAUUACAGAACAAAAGACUAUAGAAGAGUCUGCAGAUCAAACAGCCACAGGUGAUGAAUCAGCUGAAGAAGCGGAUGAAGGAGAAACGGAUGAAUUUGAGAAUGUUGAGGAUGAGAUUGCUGGGGCAGAGUUACCAGAAGAUAAAUCAGAUCACGACAAAGAUGUCAAAGUGACAAGAUUUGAUGAUGAGCAGACUGAUGCUGAGGAAUUAUUGGCCACCACAUGUGAGGAGGAAACAUCAGAUGAAAGCACACAAAAUACAACAGAGGUUGAAUCAUGCAACAAUGAUACUGCAGUUUCCACAAAUGAGGGAAAACAUGCUGAGGAGCUUGAAUCAAACAAAGGCACUGAAAAAGAGGGGACAGUUGAUGAAGAUGAGACUGAUGAAGCAAGAAACGCAGAGGAGACUGAUGAUGCAGAUGAAACUUCAGAAGAAAGCGAGAGUUCUGCCAUAAAAGAUGAGUUUGAAAGCAUAGAUGAAGAUGAAGUUGAGGAAACCAAAGAAGCAGUCACUGAUAAAGAUGAAAAUGUGGAAGAAGAAAACAUCAGAAAAUGUGAAAAAACUCCUGCCAUUAGUGUUGAUGAGUCUGAAAGUGAAAACCAUGACACAUCAGAAGCUGAUGAAGAGGAAACAUUCAAAGAUCAGACAUAUGAGGAUGAAAUGAUUGUCAAGGAAAACACGGAUCUAAUUGAUGAAGUUGCUGAGGAUGACGAUGAGUCUGUCAGAAAAAAGACAAUGGAUGAUGAAGAUGAGGCUGAUUCCACCAGUGACAGUGAAGAAGACUGUGAUGAUACAGCAGGUGCAAUGGAUGCUACUACAAAUGAAGAAGAAACUCCAGAGAACCAUGCAAUGGAUAAUGACAUGACAAGUACAAUAGCAGAAGAAUCAUCUGAAGAUGAACUUACUGUAGAAAAGCUUCCUACAAGUACAAGUGAAGACAAACCUGAAGAAGCUACUGAAAUGAAAACAGAAGCAAAAACUAGUGGGCAGGAAUCUGAUGAGGCUGAGGGCGAGUGUGUGGCUGACUAUAAAAAACAGACCGCUGCUGUAGAUAAUGAAAGUGAAGAAGAAGAAGCAAGAGUUAACAGUGAAGUGGAAGACACAUCUGCUAUAACUGAACAAGAAUUUGACAAAAACGCAGUUCUAGAAAGCAACAGUGCAAAUGGUUCUGAUUCAGAAAGUAACACUGCUGGAGAAAACGAGGCUACUGUCUCAAGUGAAGAUGAAAUCCAAGAAGAAACCAAUGAUGAUCCCUCAGCAGUGGAGGAAAAUGUAACAGAGGAUCCAUCAGUAGAACAUACUGAGUCUGAGUCAGACGAGAAGAAAACAUCAAGCGAACAAACUCUCAAUAAAGCCCCAGAUGAAGACGAAAGUUCACUUAAAGAUGAAGAUGAAACAGCCAAGGAUACUUGUGAAGCCACAGAUGAUGAAGAGCAGGGCGAUUCAUCAAAUGAAAAUGAAGAGGAAUCGGACACAGAUGCAGUUGUGGAAACCACCAGUGCAAAUGAGUGUAAUUCAGAAGAUGACAAUGAAGAAGAAAGUGAGGUUUCUGCUACAAGUGUAGAUAAUACACAGGAAAAAUCACAUUGUCAAAGUGUCUCAGUGGAAGAUGAAAGUGUUGCUGAAGAUCCUCCUGUCGAAACAACAAAGUCUGAAUCAGAUGAAAGUUUUUGUGACGCCACAGAGGAUGAAGAGGAGAAAGUAACAACGGUUAAUGAACAGGAAUCAGACAAAAAUGCAGAGUUGGAAGCUGCAUCUGCAAACGAGUCCAAUGUAGAAGAUGAAACUGAAGAAGAGAAAGAGAUUUUUGACUCAAAAAAAAAUGAAACAAAAGAGGAAGCUGUUGGUGAAGGGACUUUGGAUGAUGAGGAGGACACUGAGGAACCCAGUGAUGGUGAGCAGUCUUCAUCAAAUGAGAUGGAAACAAUGGGCAAACAAGCUGAGGAUGGAGAACAUGAGGAAUCAGAAAAAGAUGUUAAUGAAGAAAUUGAGAAUGAAGAAGAGGUUGAAACAAGCGAUCAUGAUAUGGAUGGGCCACCAGAAGCCAAGUCUGGUGAUGAGUCAGAAGAAAGUGAAAUAGCUCAAGAAGAUGAUGACGGAGAGAAAGAAGUUGAUCUCUUAAGUAACGAUGAAGAAAAUGAAGCUUGUGAGCCCACAGUGGUUCAAGAGGGAAAGACAACCACGAGAGGAGCAUCUGAUGAAUCUGACAAAGAACAAUCUUUGGAAGAAUUUGACCAAGCUGCACAAACCAAUGGUGAAGACGUUUUAGAGAACUCUGAAGAGAGAGCAGAGGCGUCGACGGAAAGGGAGGAUUCAGAUGAAGAGAAUAUCAGCGUGGCUUGUGACGAAUCAAAUAAUAAGGAAGAAUCAACAAGUGGAGAAGAAUCUCAUAGCGAGGCUGAAUCGUUAAGAGAGGAAAGCUCUAAAGUUGUGCCAGUAAAUAACUCAGAAGAAAGUGACGGAGAGGAGCAGGAUGACACCAUUGCUCAAGAAGAUGCUUCUGAUGUUACAAAUGAUCAUGAGCAUUCAAAGGUCCGAUCUGAUGAUGAGAAUUUGGAUGAAGAAACUGCAGGGGAGUCUACAGAUGAACAUGGGGGGUCGGAUGAAGAGGUUGAUGAGACUGAGACAUCGGAAAGAAAUGCUGGAAGCAGCGCCACCGAGGAUUGUGAAGAGCAAGGAAACGCCGAACAAUCAAACAAGGAAGAGAAAGAAUGUGAAACAGAUGGAGAAGAUCCUGAAAACCCAGAGUCAGAUGAAGAGGAAAGUGGAAUGGUGUCUGAAUCACCUUGUCAGGAAUGCAGUGGAACAUCAGCUGGAGAGACAGAAGAAAACGAAACAGCAGAAGAGUCGACAGAGCCGGAGAUGUUGAAGAGUGCAGUGAUUCCAUUUAAAGAAUCGAGUCCCGAUGAUGAAGAUGAGGAAGAAGAAGGCGAAGAAGUGGCAGAAAGUGCUCUCAGUGAUGAAGAAAACGAAACGCCUGGCGAGCAGGAACACACUAAUGAUGAAACAGAAGAUGCUGAUGAGGUGAUGGAGCUGAAACCAGAAAACACUGAGGAUGACAAUGUAGAGAAAUUGUCCAACAAACAUCCAGAAGUUGUGAUUGUUGAAGAUAACAGUGUGCAGACUGGAGAAGAGGGAGAAGAUGACGGUGAAGCUUCUGAACAUGACGAAACUCAGACACCCAACGAUGAUUGGAGUGAAAAUGAAGGCGAUUCAGCCGACGGAGAAGAUGAAGGUGAGGAAGACUCAGAUGAAGCUGAGGAGGAAACUGACUGUGGACAGAAAACUAUGGUCCGCUGCACCACGGUCAGUCAGGAAGUCUCAAAGAGAGAAACUAGCAAAGCUACACUGAUACCUGUUGAUGUCAUUGCUAAAGCCAGGAUGGAAUCUGAAGAUGGUACUUAUGCUGAUGUUGAAGAUUCAGAAACUGAAAUAAGCAAUGAAGACAUCACCACGUUGGAACCAAAGACUUUAAAAAAGAGUUCCCGUUAAUCUGACUAAAACUUUGUUGGAGAUAUAGUGGACCAAGGUGGACUAGUAAAGUGGAAAUAUACAUCACAAAAUCUAUUUUCCUUGGUUCUAAGGAAAGUGAUUUUUAGGAAUUUGAUCAUCAACAUAUAUUAAUACUGAAUAUACUGUAAAUACACUAUUCUAAUGAAAUGCUGUGAGCACGAUUUGAGAAAAAUGUCCUAAAAACUUGAACUUAUACAACACUGUACACGUGUUGGAAUAGCUUUAACACUAUGCUAAAAUAACUUUUAUUUUGAAAUACUGAGCCUUAGUCCAACCAGGAAACAGCAAUGAGUUGUGCUUUGCUAAAAUGUUAUGCCAUCUGUGUAAUUUCUGCAAAAUGUGAAACAAGCUAAAGGGGC